rnacentral:rRNA from 1 species
AUGGCGUCGUCGGAAGCCGACCGGGCAGCGGAAGCAAUCAGCCGCGGGGAUAUUUUCCGCCGCCCAUCAGCCGCGGCCGCUCGGGCACCGACGCCCCGGAUCUGGGACGCUGAUUUUCUCCGGCGGGAGCGGCAGCACGGGGGUGGUGGAGAAGAAGGCGGCGGGAGCACGACGAGCUCGCCACUCACCAAUGCGCUCCCCACUGGUAACAUCUGCUCGUCUGGCCGCGUCGGCGUCGCGGCUGCGCGCCCGCCCGGACGUGCUCGAAUCCGGCCACGGCAGCAUCUUAAGAACUUCCUCAGCAUCCAGGAGACGCAGACCGCCAUUUUGCAGUCUCAGCUGAAUGGUGCUAACCGAGAUCUGUUCGAACCGGAGAGGAAGAUCAUCGCAGAUCACUCUCCCACGACAAGCCCAUGCCCAUGCAAGCUGGGAACUGGCAACCAGAUGCGUUCAUGUGUAUGGACAUCGAUCACAGCCUGUAACAUUCCACUCUGUGCAACAUGGAGUUCAUCUGUUGUGUUUAGUUCUUUGCUUCAUUGUUAA